AACGAACGUUGGCGGCGUGGAUGAGGCAUGCAAGUCGCACGUGAAAGUCUUCGGACGAGUAAAGUGGCGGACGGGCGAGUAACACGUAAUCAAGCUGCCCCUGAGACGGGGAUAACCUCGGGAAACCGAGGCUAAUACCGGAUGGUUUCCGCGGAGCGCAUGUUGCGCGGAGUAAAUGGUGGGGUCCUUCGGGACCUGCUGCUCAGGGAGGUGAUUGCGUCCCAUCAGCUAGUUGGCGGGGUAAAGGCCCACCAAGGCGACGACGGGUAGCCGGCCUGAGAGGGUGGCCGGCCGCACUGGGACUGAGACACUGCCCAGACUCCUACGGGAGGCUGCAGUCGAGAAUCUUCCGCAAUGGGCGCAAGCCUGACGGAGCGACGCCGCGUGGAGGACGAAGGCCCUCGGGUUGUAAACUCCUGUCACGGGUUAUGAAUGUCACGGUGUGAAUAGCGCCGUGGUUGACGUAAGCCCGAGAGGAAGCACUGGCUAACUCUGUG
rnacentral:rRNA from 1 species